GAAAAGAAGAACAAGCAUGAACAUUUUGCACCACUGUAUUAUGAAUAUAAUUCCUUCAAAGUAAAAGGCUCUAUAUGGAGUAUUAAUAUUGAGUUGGAGUUAGUUAUAUACAACGUGUUACUUGGUAUUCCAUUAUUAUUAAAUUAUGCAAAUCUGUUCCUUUGUCCUUCAUGUCAUGGCUAAAUACUUUUUCAUGCUUGUUGCAGACCUCUGUGGUUAGUGUAGUGAAACCUUGCUGGAUCUUGAGCCCAUUAAUGGGAUGUGGCACUUGAGCGAGAAUGGAAAACCUCGUGGGCAGAUUGAUGUAAUUAUUAUUGGUGAUACAGUGCUGCUACCUUUGCUCCCUCUCUCAUCAAAAAAUUGUCUUAAAAUUUUGCACUAAGAAAAUCUGUGUUUUUUAUAUUGCCGUGGCAAAAUGUUAAAUGGGCUUCACUUUUUUUUUUGGGGUGGGGGGUGGGGAUAAAAAAGAAAACAAAAGAAAAUUUUCAAAUUUUACAUUCCAUCAUUACCUCGGACUCAGGAGUGGGGAAAGGUUAAAGUUUUGUACAGUAAUAUAGAGAAACCCUCUGCCAAUCCAAACCUCUGUGAAAGGGAUCCCAUUUCAUGACAAUCUUUGUGGGUUUUGAGUUGGAAUACUCUGGCAGGUUAGAAGUUGUUUCAAUUAAUUAUCUAUAACAUAUGAGUUGUGUUAAAUUGUAUGACUAUAUAGUGAUUCAUUGUAGGAUACUAGGACAUCAAAGAGCUCAAAAUUUCUGACAGAUUUUCUUCCUAAAUUUGGUUAAAAUGUGAUGGAUAGAUUAGAACUAAGUUGCUCAGCAAUUUGUAGCUGUAAACAUCUAGAAGGCUGGAACUAAAUGCCAUUUGAUUAGGUUAGAAUAAUAUGAGCCGAGCUUACAAUCUUUGUCAUUCAUUCAAUUGCUUUUUCAGAUGACCACAAUUCAUCAUGUUGAUAUUAUCCGAUUGGUGCCUUGUAAAUUUCCUUUAUGACUAUGAUAUAGGGCAUUAUUGAAGAGUUGAAAAUAUCCAAAGAAAAUUAGCGAGAAUAGGUUCUGGAUUAAAAAGACAACUUUAUGCAUGUUUCCUUUCUGCUUCAUCAAUUGAUUAUAGACCAUUAAUUACCUAUGCCCUUUUUUGUUUCGGCUUUGCUUUACAGUAAUAGUGCCUAGAUGUAAUGAUAGGAAAAUGUGCGAAUCGGUUGUCUAUUCAUCUGGUGUACCUCUAAUAGCUAGAAAAAUGAAGGUAUAUAUCCUUUGAAAUAUUCAGUUUGUUUAGUGUCUAAACUAUGUUUUGUUCAGUCAACCAUUCCUAAAUUGUUUCGAAGCUUCAUGCUGCAUUUAUCCAGUUUGUAGAGCCUGGAACUAAGUUCUAUAUGGACAGUUCUUGCAGCAUCUGAGGAUCCCCUUCUGCUAGUAGUGCAGCAUCAUUAAAGGCACCUUUGUUAAUGGUGUUGAUUCUGUCUCAUGGACGGCAAAUAACUCAGUGAAGCUUUUUAGUUCCCAGAGUGAUGGUACUCAUUGUUGGACCUUUUUCAGCGCUGCAGCUUAUGGAAAAUGAAACAAGGUUCCACAGAUCUGUUGGUACAUAAAUGUGUGUCUUGUUUAAAAUACUUGUUUUCACAUGAUUAUAUGCUAGCAUUGACACACUUUUUUAUCAAUUGCCUAGACCUGUUGAAUCCAUUCAUACUUCAGCUUGAAAUCCGAGCUAUUGAAACAAGGCUGCAAUGAGUUCAGUUUUGGACUAUCCUUAUAGUUGUCCUAUUUCCUUUAUGGUUAUAAGUGCUGCGUUUGGCAUAUGAAUCUAAUUGAAUGAAAGUGAAUCAGGGGUUGGUCUUAAAAGCGCAUAUUGUUCAAAUACAAAAAGUAAUAUUAUUUGAGACAAUUCAUACGGCUUCCUUUGAGUGAAAAAUAGUCAUAUUACCAUUUAAACUGGCAUGAUAUGUUCUUCCAGUUUAUUUGAAGAAUUAUGAGAAGAACCUCAGGUGUGUUAACUAAAAAAUGCCCAAAAUGGACUGUUCAUAUUCAUGCCACUGAAUCCCAGGUAUGUUAAUUUUAAACUCCAAUUAAAUGCUCUAAUCUUUCUUCACUCAUUUUAGCAUGUAUUCCAUAAUUCAUGCUUUCUUCUUCCCCUUUUAAUUUUUCCUCUUCUUCUCUUUUAGCUUCCGUAGUAUUGGGAAUCAGUUGUUAUUGAUGUUGGAAAAAGGAAUUGUUUUAUUUGGAUCAUAAGAGGGACAAUCCUGAGCUUGAUUAUGUACUUUCCAUUUGACGCCAUUUAUAUUUAUAGGCUUCUUCAAUAAGUUGAUGUCGUUAUCUGUGUGAAUAUUUUUAGCUCUUGUAAUAAUGCUAUUUGAUUUCUGAUAACUAGUAAUUGGGUAUGGAAAGUGAAACAAGGUUUCCCAGGUCAGUUCAUAAAUAAAUAUAUGUUUACAUUCACGCACUUGCUAGUCAAUUGCUUAGAGCACUAGCAUAGUAGAAUAGCUUCACACUUUAGCUUGAAUUCCCAAGCUAUUGAAUGAGUUCAGUUUUAUGUGCAUAUUUAUUUAGAUUUGGUAAUAAUAUUAGCUUGAUUUUCUGCGUUAUACUUUGAAUCAAUAUAAUGUUUCAAUUUUACAGCAGAGAUUUAUGUUGCUAUUUAGCUUCAGAAAUAUCAGACAAGGAAUUUCAAACAUAAGCUCGAAGCUUGAUUAUUCACAUAUAAAUAAUGUGAUCUAUGUCGAUUGCAGAUUAUUUAGGAAGCAGUAUAGGUCAUACUGAGGUGUUAUCGUGCACAAAAUUAUUGUUUCAUCUGACAUAUUGUUCGCUUAAGCAAUAGUAAUGAACUUGAGGUGUUAGUUUUUGAAGUCUUCUGUUUAUAUAUAAGUUGUAUUGAAUCUCUCUCGACAAUCUUUCUUCUAGUUUUGAUCAUUGCAUCAUAAUUUUCACAUCUGUGUUUAUAAUAUAACUCUGUGCAUUACUUCAUCUUUUUCUCACUUUUUGAUUCCUUGCAUCUUGAAUCUGUUUAAUCAAUAUUCUGGACUUCUUUUGUGGAGAGGCUGCCCUUCUGAGAAUCUGUUUUCAGUUAUCACUUACCCCUUCUAAUAGUUUGCAAACCAGAUGUGGUUUUUGCAUGUUCAUAAACUUGCAAUGUAAUUUGUUUAUUAGUUCAGUUAAUACAAAUUUCAAAGAUGAAAAACACAAAACGACUAUUUAUUCCAAGCGUAUAUAUUUAUAUCUUGGACAGCAUUGAACUCUUUUUUUUAAAAAAAAAAAAUUGUUACAAUUGCCACAUUUGUAAUCUAAAAUUUAUUGGGAAUCUAGAUACAGACACUUAGUAGUGCAAUCAAAAAUAAAAAAAAUCUGUCGGACAUUAACUUGAAAAUAUGUUUCUACUACUAUUUGGAGAAGUGUAUAUUGUACGUGGCAUUGAACUUUUCUUUCUAUUUCUUUUUUCAAAAUUAUUACAAUUCACACAUAUUUCAUUCUAAAAUUUGUUGAGAUUCUAGAUACAAAUACUCAAGGAUACAAUUUUAAGCAAAUGAGCAGUUUGCAUAAUAUUUUACUCGUGGAGACUGGAGAUAUCUACCCUUAAUUAUUUAGUGAAAAUAAAUUAGAUAUCAAAUUUUGUCAUAACAAAAUUAAUCCAAAACAAAACAAAAGAUGUCACCUUAAUUGUUGAUAUAUCUGAAUCUUAUUAUCCUCCUUUUGCAACUAUGAAAACAAAAGAAUAUUUCAGCAGUGGCGAGAGAGCAGGGCAGAAUCAAGUAUAAAACAUAGGAUAAGGAACGAGAUUAUAACGAACAAAACUACCACUAAAUGAUGACAACUUUCAUUUCAUUUGCAUCUUCAUCCUCUCUGAUUCUUCAACCCCUUAAACCCCCAAAAUCCUCAAGACUCUCAAAAGCAAAGACACUAACUUCAACCAUUAAAGCAACUUCUUCUCAACCAAAACCCAACAACGCAAAUGCUAAAAAACCCACUUCAAGAAACCGCAGAAGAUCAUCGUAUGGCAGUUCGAGAAGGUCAGCUCUCAAGAAAACAUUCGCCCAAGAGCAAGUCACGUUCACUACACCCGUCUCCAGUGACCCGUGUGUGGGGAUUAUUGGUGGAGGCAUGGCCCGUCUCGCACUCUCGCUUGUGCUUUGAGUUUGGAUAAGAGAGGUGUAAAGUCCACUAUUUUUGACACGGUUUGUCACUUGUCUGGUUUCUUGGCCUUUUUUUUUUCUGUACUUUUGUGUUUUUGAUUGGAGAGCUUGAAGUGGGUGGCCAAUUCAAUUAUCUGUUUAAUAUGGUUAGGUUGUGUUUGUAUUUGAGAGUAUACGCUUGUAUAAUGGUAAUGUAAAAAAUUUGCUGUCAACAGUCUAGCAUGUGUUGUUAUGCAUUGAAUUUUGAUUAUAAGCAUCUUUUGGAAUUGAGGUGCUCUGACCUUUGAUCUGCGUUUGUUGAGGAAUGAAAUUAAAACAUUAGCUGCUAAAUAAAAAUGGGGGUUCAUCAAAAUUUUAGUCAACCACAUUUAUGUAUUCUUAACACUGUGCUUUGCUAUAUCAGGGGAAUCAUGGCUUGGGAGGAAGAAUGGGAACCAGAAUGAUUGGUCCUCAACCACUGAUAUUUGAUCAUGCUGCUCAAUUCUUUACUGUGACUGAUUCUCGGUUCAUGAGUUGGUUGAUGGUUGGUUGGAGAGAGGUCUGGUGUGACCAUGGGAAGGUGCGAUUGGAGAGCUUGAAGUGGGUGGCCAAUUCAAUUAUCUGUUUAAUAUGGUUAGGUUGUGUUUGUAUUUGAGAGUAUACGCUUGUAUAAUGGUAAUGUAAAAAAUUUGCUGUCAACAGUCUAGCAUGUGUUGUUAUGCAUUGAAUUUUGAUUAUAAGCAUCUUUUGGAAUUGAGGUGCUCUGACCUUUGAUCCGCGUUUGUUGAGGAAUGAAAUUAAAACAUUAGCUGCUAAAUAAAAAUGGGGGUUCAUCAAAAUUUUAGUCAACCACAUUUAUGUAUUCUUAACACUGUGCUUUGCUAUAUCAGGGGAAUCAUGGCUUGGGAGGAAGAAUGGGAACCAGAAUGAUUGGUCCUCAACCACUGAUAUUUGAUCAGACAGCAUCUUACAUGGCAUACCUUUAUUUUUAAAUUAUUUAAAUAAGUUCCUUUGUCCUUCAUGCCUUUAAUGCAUUUUGAUUCUUGUUGCAGACCUCUAUGGUUAGCAUAGUGAGACCUUGCUGGAUAAGUAAUCUUGAGCCAUUUAAUGGAAUGUGGCACUUGAGGGAGAAUGUGAAACCACGUGGGCAGUUUGAUGUGGUUGUUAUUGCUCAUAAUGGUGAUUCAGUGCUGCUAUCCUUUCUCGUUUUCUCUCUCUGUGGAUUGUUAUAGUCUUACAUUUGCAUUCCAAAAAUGCAGGUUAUUGUUUUUCGUAGUUGUAUGAACGUGACAAUUGCCUUUGCUAUUGGAAAAAAAAUAAAAUAUUUCUGAUUUUACUCUCUAUCAUUACAGUGGAUUAGGAAUGGAAAAUAAUCUGGUUUAUUACAGGGAAACCCUACCGAAAUCCAAACUCGGUCCCUCUCCCUAACCAUCCUGGAAUACCCUGGGGGGUUAGAAUGCAUAUAGUGUUACAUUAUAUGAUUUUGUAGUUCGCUGAGUUCUUAUGUUUUCUGGGAUACUAGGACUUCAAAAAGCGCUGAAAACUUCAUAGAAUUUCAUACUGAUUUUUCACUGUCAAUUUGGAGAAAAUGAUGGCUAGAUUACAAGUAAGAUUAAGAGCGACUUUUAAAUUUAAUCAACUGGAAGACUGGUAUUGAAUGGCUAUUAGUUAGGUUAGAAUAAGAUGAGCUAGACUUUCAAGCUGUGCCAUGCAUUCACUGGCCGUUGUAGUAUUACGUAGGUUGUUAUGGAAGUAAAAAAGAUCUCUAUAAAUUUAACAACCAGAUUAGGUUUCUAGAUCCAGAAGUCGAGGUUAUGUUUAUUUGCUUACUCUUUCGACUGUUAAUUGCCUAUGUCUUUUUCUGUUUACAUUUUGGCUUAGCUUUGUAAUAAUAGUUCCUUCAUGUAAUGAUAGGAAAAUGUGCAAACUGGUUGCUUGGUUCAUCUGGCUUACCUCAAAUAGCUAGACAAAUGAAGGUAUAUGCUUUGAAAUAUUCAGUUCUUUUAAUAUUAUCUAGCCUAUGUUUUAUUCAGUAUUGGCCAGUUCUAAUUAUUUUGAAGAUUCAUAACUCAUUUUCCUGGUUUGUAGAGGCUGGAACUAAGUUCUAUAUGGGCCCUUCUUGCUGCAUUUGAGGACCCCCUCCCACUGGGCAGUGCAUCAACAUUUGAAGGCGCCUUUGUGAAAGGUGUUGAUUCUGUCUCAUGGAUGGCAAAUAACUCAGCAAAACUUUUGAAUUCUCAGAGUGAUGCUCCUCACUGUUGGACCUUCUUCAGCACCGCAGCUUACGGAAAACAAAACAAGGUUCCACAGGUCAGUUUGUAUAUAAAUGUGGGUCUUCUUAAAAGUACUUGCUUACACAUGAUAAUAUGCUAGCAUUGGCACACUUUUUAACCAAUUGCCUAGACCUCUACUUGAAUCCAUUCAUGCUUCAGCUUGAACUCCAAGCUAUAGAAACAAGGCUGCAAUAAGUUCUGUCUUUUUGUGCAUAUUUAUGUUCCCUUUUAUACUUGAAUCAAUAUGACAUUUCAAGUUUACAGCGAACUUUGGUGCUGUGUGGAUAUAUAUAUGUUGCAAUUUAGGCUUUCUGCAAGAUUUUUAAUGAUUUUUUUAUCAUUUAUUAGGAAAAUAUCCCAACUGCAACAGCAGAGAAGGUGAAAAAAGGUAUGCUCGAGGGUGUUGAAGCUGCACUUGGCCGACCGAAAGGUUCACUUCAGAAGCCCAUUUAUACUCGAGUCCAUUUAUGGUAAGACUCCACUUUUAAGGACAUGACCUUGUAAUUUCAUUUUUUUAUCUUGUCCAAUUUGGAUCCUUGUAACCUACUUGACCUGUAAAUAUUUGCUGUUGGUGUUGGUUUAGAAUGAGUGGUUGAUUUGAACAAGCUUAAAAAGUUAUUGUGUGGACUUGUGUAUAGUCCUAGUUCUAUUUUCCUGUUACGCUCAUUUUUAAAAAAAGAUGGAACAUGUCAUUCCAAUUUAUUAAAUAAAUAAAACAACUUCAGAAUUUCAUGAUUAAGAAAAUAGUUCCUAUGUGAUGAAUUAGGUAUUUAUUUAUUUAUAUAUCUAUUUUAUUUAUUUAUUUUUUUGGGGGGGAAAUGUGUAGGGGUGCAGCUCUUCCAACUAAUACUCCAAGUAUUCCAUGUAUCUUUGAUCCUCAUGGAAGGGCUGGUAUAUGCGGCAAUUGGCUGUUGGGUUCAAGUGUAGAGUCAGCUGCAUUGAGUGGCAUGGCUCUUGCCAAUCAUGUAAGCAAGAAUAUGAUUUUUCUUUUGCUUAUUUGGUUUUAUUUUGUGCAUGUAACUAUAUAUUUCAUGAUUGAUAUAAAUAAAAUAAAAUAAAUCUAAGACAACCAUUCUAUCCCUAUAGGGACAUCUAAAUAUAAAUUUGCAGGUUGGCUUCAAUCAGAUUGAAAUAUCAGACAAGUUUCAACAACAUUAGCUUGAAGCUUGGUUAUUCUUAUAUAAAUAACGUAAUCGGUCUAUGUAGAUUGCAGACUAUUUAGGAAGUGGUGGAGUUCGUCCUGAGGAAUUUGCUGUCGGUUUACACAACGAGUUUCAAUUGCUCGAAGGACAUGAUAUUGGACAAUUCCCGGGUUUGGAGUCCGUGAAAAAAGAGCAAGUUCAAGCAUAUCAGCUUACUUCUUGAAUCCCUAAGCAGGCCACAAAAAUUUCUGGAGUUUUUCAAGGUAUACUUCUAUUGAUACACUCUUUAUGGCUUUCUUUUUUUCACUUGGGUUACUGUCAUGUUAAUUCUCUUGGUUUUUAUGGCUAGGAUUAAGAAGUUUAUUCACAAAAUGCAGUUAUUGGCAUAGUUGCUAAGCAAGCAUCCUGAAAUUCUUUUUGUGAUACCAUCCAUUAUGAAACGUAAAUGAGUACAGAUGCAAAGGAGAGCGGAUUCUUGGAGCAGCUAAAUCCUUACAGAAAACUUGUUUUCAGUAGCAUAGGUGACAGGAAUUGUGAUAUUUCCCUGGCUUUCAUGGAAGAAAAUAAAAAAUUUCUAAUAACUGUAACCUUUUUGAGUUCUCCACAAAUCAGUUUGAAUAUGAAGCCAAAUAUCAGAUGCAGAUUUUAGAGCAACAAAGUUCAAUGCUAUCAGUUGUUUUGGGUUCAAGUGAUCAGAGCUUCAUCCGGCACAAGCUCGCCUAACAGAGUAUGAAAAAUAUUGAAACCUACAGUUAACAAUUCUCAAGUUCCAUAUUUGACCUGUAAUCACAUUCAAGUUAAUACAUGACUACUGAUAUAUGAAAUGACAUUUUUAUUCAGUUCCAGGAAAGUCGCAUGCAGAGGAUUUAAGUUUCAUAUUAAUGGAAUGGUUUUGAGCUUUAUUAUUAGAUUUUAAAAAAAAAAUAAUUAAUGGAGUUAACAUUACUUAUUACAGGACAAGAAAGAGAGAUUAAUUCUCCAUGGGAAAAGCGUUGAAAGAAGCUUCUCAUGCGCGUAAUCAGCCUCUCAGUUGCUUACCAUGGCAUCUUUUCCAUACUUAUGCACAUGUUGAUAGAAUUCUUUCUUGGUUAAAUAAUCUGGGACAAAUCGCUGUUCAUUGGCAACACGAGCAACAAAAUAUCACACAAAUUAAUUCCAACAAAAAUAAUAUUUUUACACGAGAGACUUGUGUGAGAGAAGAGGGUUAAUUAGAUGAUUACUAUUGAGAUCACAAGUAUGAGCGAAAUGAACACAGGCAAUUGAACAAACCGUGACAGAGUCUAUCCAGCUGAAGAAAUCGAAAACUCUUCGGCAUUUGUCUGCAAGCUUUAAAGCCGUCGGAAAACCAUUGUGCUUCUGCUAAAUUAACUUGAUAGCCAGCAACAAAAACAACAAGAAGAGCCCAGCACAGUAGCAGUUUCUAGUUUUUCAUGCUUCCCUUCUUUUCUUUCUUGAGAUUGAAAUGAUUUAAGAUUUAUUUAAAGGGUCUUUGUCUUGGUAUGCAAAUAAUGGUUUGAAAACAGAUUAUAUGCUAUUACAAGUUAAUUUUUCUGAUAACGAGUGUUUGACUAGGAUUCUUGUCGUAGUGUAAUUAUUAAACAUGAUUUUAUAAUUAAUGAUUCUACUAUGGUAGUAAUGAUUAUAUAAUGAUUUUAUAAUUAAUGACUCUACCAGGAUUUGAAAACUACUAUGGUAGUAAAAUUGCUUGAAGCAACAGCUUAAAAUUAUCAGAUGGUGUGAAAACCGGAGAAGAUCUACCAAGAGGGUAAUGAAGUUUUCUAAAGUCCAACUGAAAUGAUUUCAGGAUUCACUUCAACAAUGCAAAAACAUAUUUGAUAUUUCAAAACUGAUGAAAUUCAUUAUCAUUAUCGUUAUCUUGGACGUAUUUGAAAUGCAUUAUCAUUAUCGUUAUUUCAAAACUGAUGAAACAUAUUUGAAAUGCAUUAAUUACUGAUGCUAGCACUUGAAAUAAAAAAAUAAAAAAUCAAAUGAUAGCCGUGUUCAAGAAGCGAAGUAUUUUUAUAUUUCAUACUUGGCCGUACCGCAAACCCAAUUUAUAAGACAUGAAGAAGAAAUCUCCUUUAUAGAGUUAUUUCUAAAAUGGCAGAAUCUACCAUCUUGAAUCAAAGUAUAUCAUUAGAAAAAGAAGGAGAAUUAAGGACAUUUUAUCUCGAGAGCUACCUGAUAGGGUACUCCAUUCUUGACAGAGUACUGGCCCUCGUUGUCAUAUUGCCACAGAAUCUGAAGUUCUUUGAGGAAAUGAAUGCUUUGGUGGAAGAAGACCUUGAGCAAGAAAAAGACCAACAUGAAAGAGAGAUGAAGAAAAUCUCUAAUUUUGCAAAUAUGGUCUGAUUGGCUUGUCAGAUAACUAACCAAACUAAUCACUACUUUCAGUGUCAAUCAAAUUCCAACAAACAAUUCAUUUUCUGUUCGAACUCGAGUGGUGAUCAGCCAAAUAAAGUUGCCUGAAAACUGCUCCGACAAAACUCUGGGGAUAUAGUACAUUGCUUGUUGAAAUUGGUGUAUGUUAAUAGAAAUAUAAAAGCCCUUACCGAAAUUUGACCGAGAUUGAAAGUAGCGAUUAAUUUGGUUAGUUAAAACUUACAAGCCCACAAGACCAAUUUGAUUAGUUAGAGAUCUUCUUCCACCAAGCAUCCACUUCCCCAAAGGAUUUCACCCAGAGGAUUUCAAGAGAUCGAUCUUUAAUUUGCCGUCUCUGAACAUGAAACAUGAUCCAAUAUAUUAUCACCACCUAGCAAUAUCUGAGUAGGCUUCUCUUUAACCUUGCAUGUUAUAAAGAUUGAGUACAUAUAAAUAAAAGGCAAGUGCUAAGUUAUAUGUAAUGUAACUUACACUACUCACAUGAACAGUGAGUGAGCCCCACACCAUCACUAUUAAUGUGAGUAGAUGUAAGUUACAUUAAAUAUAACUUAGAGGGAUCUAGAUAAAAUUGUACUCCGAAAAUUUGCCCUGGCCCUCAAUACAUGUUAAUCCAUGAGUUAGGUAAGAGUUAGUUGGCUUUGUCCUAUUUAGGAUUGCUGCCUUAUAGGUGUAGCUUCUAAGCAACAACCUCGGUUAAUGACUUUGUAUUUGAUGAAAAAUCUUUGUUACUCUCACUAUUUUUUUCAAUUAUUAUUUUUCAAGCUUUAAAAAUCAUAUUUAUCAAUUAUUUUCAACUUUUAUUUCGUUGCAAUUGUAACUCAAUUUUUAAGCCACAGCACUCUAAAUAAAUCCUCAACAAUUAAUGGUCUCUUUAACCUUGAAAUAUUAAUAACCCACCUUCGGUCACCAUGAGCCACCACCGCACCACGAACUGCCAUCGGCAUUUAUAUUUUGCUAUCUUUUGACGUUAAUUUUAUACUAUUAGAAUCUUUAUUACUGGAUCUACCCAACAAUUGCUUGUAUCAUCGACAAUAAAGUUUCUCGUCAUUUUAAGUACAUAGAUACAAAACUUUGAUCGUAAAUCUACGAUGAACAGAAGCUCUAUUUUCGGUAUUACAUUUACUGUUAUGAAACUCCAACGAUAAGGAUUCUCUUGGUAUCAAAAUUGACGUCAAAGGAUGCCAAAAUUAUAUCGAAGAGGGUAGAUUACGGUGGUUGGUGAUGGUCAAUAAUUUUGCCAUUCAAAUUUAUUAUUUGAUAAACUAAUGAUAAACAAAUUAAAUAUGUUUUAGUGUGUUAAAUAAUUUUGUAUUUUAAAAGUCAACAAGACAUUGACGGGGAGGGGGGAAGGGGGCAUGGGUUUUGAUAACACAGCAAAAAAUGCAUUAACGUUGUAAUUAGUGUUAUCCAACGCAUUUCAUUUCAAUUACUAAAAAUUGGUUUGUUUCAAUUAACGUUGUACCCAUGAAGUAGUGUAUGCCAAACAUAUUUUUUAAGUAUUGAAAUUGGGCAAAAGUUAUGUCAUAAAAAUAUUUGAUAAACACUUGUUACUAUAAUUUAAAAAUUAAGUUGAUUUGAUUAAUAAGAUAAAAAAUUUAAAAUAUAUUUUUUGUUUUUAUAAAAUUUUAUUUAAAAAUUAUAUUUAUUAUGUAUUAUUAAUUUUUAUAUCAAUUUAAACAAAAAUGAGAAGAAGCCCCAGCCUUUUAAUAGAAAUGCGAAGGCAGUGUUGCAACUUGGGUCGGUCCUCCCAAGUACAGUACUAUGGUACUGAUCAAAGUCCCAACCUCAUCUCAGUUUUGAGGUUUAAUCCCAUAAGGAAAAUAAGAAUAUAUGAAACUAGAAGCUAAAAUUACAUGGUCACAUGAUUGCAAUUGCAUAGGCUGCAUGGGUGGACUUAAUCAUAACUGAGGAAAAGAAGAAGUAGCAUGAACAUUUAUUUUGGCACCACUUUGUUAUGACUAUAAUUUGUGAAAAACAACAAGCUUAUUUAUAUAUGCUACAUUAGUAUUGAAAUGGAGUUAGGUGCAUACAAACAUCUUAUCAAGGCGUAUGCCAUUAUUAUAAAAUUAUGUAAGGCAAGUUCCUUCAUGUCAUGUCCUUUUACGGGUCUAAUUCUGUUUUAAUGAUUGUUGCAUCUUAAGGUUAAUGGAAUGAGACCUGCUGGACAAGUAAUCUUGAGCCAUUUUUUCUUCCCAAUUUUGUUUGUUUGUUUUGGGGAUUGUAAUGCAAAAGAUUUUAGACUGGGAAUGUAAUUAUAUGUUGCUAUGAGCUUUAGUUUGAUUAUAAUGAAUAAAUAAAUGUAUUACUGAAUUUCAGAAAUGAAGCUAGUGGGAAGAAGAAUUAAGCUUAAUUGAGAUUGAUAUAUAGAGGGGUACUGUGAUGAUCCAAGCAUUGAAGGCACAAAGAUCCCUCUCUGUUGGAUUACAAACGAGCAAGGAUAUCAAAGAAACCCCACCAACAAGGCAAUUUAGAGACAAUCUGUUCUACAUAGAUUCACUUAUUCUCUAACAUAAAUUACUUCUUGUGUGUUUUCUUAAGCAUUCAUUGCUUUUUGGGACUUGAUAGAGUGUUGUGGGAGUUUGACAAUUAUAGUAUCUGUGGAACUUAUAUCGUAGCUUUUGUUAUGUCAUGACAUCGCAGCUUAGUUUUAAUCUCAAUUGUUAAUGUCAUCAUCACGAUUCAUGAUGUCAUGGAAGUUCAUGAAUGUUUAUCUUCAGCUAUGUAAAUGAUGCAAAUCAAUUAUUAAAUGGUCAAUUUUAUUCAUAAAUUAUUAAUUAUAAAAGAAAUGAAAAAAUCUCAAUAGUCGGUAGAAGUAAAGGUAUCAAUUUAAUUAGAUCAUAGAUAAUAAACAAAAAAUAAAUUUUAAGUAAAUCAUAAAUAAAAAAUAAAAAAAUUAAUUAAUUACUAUAAGGUAUAAAUAAAAAAUAAUGACAUAAAUGGAAGUCUCAUAAAUAGAUAUUUAUAUUUUAAUCUUAUCCCACUUAAACUCAUGCAUAAAUUAGGAUUAAUAAUCUCAUAAUUUAGGAUUAAAUUUAAAUUUAGAUUUCCUCUGUCUAAUCGAGAUAAACUUACAAAAUAUAGGAUAAAUAUUUAAUCACAAAAUUAAUCCAAUCUCAUACUUAAAACCUAGUAUCCACUAGGAGCUGUACGUUGCAGAUGGUAAUGGGCACUGCCUGCACUCCGCAUUGGGCUUAUUAUUACUAAAUUCACACUCGCAUAAAAUUUAAAUUAUCAAACCGACACCCACAUCUGCUGCGGGUUUUAAUUUUUUAAGAAAAUCCACCCGUUGUAGGUUUUGACAAUUACUAUCUACAAUGCUACCCAACGGAUUUUUUGCGGGUUCUCAUAUUUAAAAUAACAAAUGUUUAAUAUAUAAAUUUAUAUUAAUAAGCUAAAAUUCCACAAAAAUAUACUCAAUUCUAAAUUUAAUCAAAGUAAAUAGAAAAUUAAAAUUUCAAUAUCAAUUCAACACAAAUUCUUAAAUUUAAGUAUGAAAUAUAUAAAUCCAUAAAAAAAAACCACAAAUGCCACGAAAAAUUCAUGGGUGUGCGGUUGCGGCACAAGGGUGAAAGGAAAAUGGGUAUGCUACUGCUGCUCAUGGGUGGAAGGGAAAUAGUUUGGAAGGCUAGGUUUUGCAGCUGCUGCUCAAAGGUGAAAGGGAAAUAGUUUGGGUUUCCUUUAGGUUAGGCUAUGAGUUGCAACUUGCACACACGACAUGUAACGUAUUUAUACUUUACAUUUAUUUAAUUUAUAAAUUUUUAGAUUUAAUUAUUUUUUCAAUUAAAAUUACAUUAAAAAUAUUUGGGGAAAAAAGUUACAGGUUUAGUAGAUAUCCAGGCGGCAUCCAUCGGAUAUUUAGUUAAUACCAAACCCACCCACAACGUAGUGCAAGUUUCAAUUUUUGAUACCAAACCCGCCCGUAACCCACAAAAUUACUAGUAAUGAGCGGGUUUUGGCAGGCAAGUUUGGACGAAUUUACUGGUUUGUAGGUACCAUUUAGGCUUGGCAAAAUCUGGAUCCAGUCCGGGUUUUGGUGUUGCCCGGGACUGGACCAAAUGAGUGAAACUCAAGACCGGACCCGGGUUAAAACCCGAUUUUUCCAGGUGCGGUCCGGGCUCAAGCCUGGCACCCUCGGGCCGGGGUUUUUUAUCCGGGUUUCUAAGCCCGCAUGUGAUAACUCAAUAUUUUUUUUCUUCAAUUUUUUCUUUCAUUUAUCUAACAAUGCAAAUUUUAGAAAAGAAAAUAGUCGAAUAAACUCAUUCAAUCUCAAGCUUUAAAAAAGAAAAUAAUCAAAUACAAAUAUAUAACAUACUAACAAUGCAAAUUUACACAAAUAAUAAAUAAAAAUUAUUUCAAUCUACUUUCUGAUACCUAAAUUCAUCCAAUUUCUAACCUAAACUCAUUCAAUUUAUAUAAAAAAAUAAAAUUAAAUUCAACAACACAAUAAUCACACAAUAAAUCUAAAUAACAUCCAACAUAUCAUAAAUUCAUAAUUAUAUAUAUAUAUAUAUAUCUUAAUUUUUAAAUAAUAAUUUUAACAAAAUUAAUAAAAUUAUAAUUUUUUUUUAUCAUACAAGUGUAAAAUCAAAUCAACUUAAUUUUUAAGUUAUAACAACUAACAUUUAUCAAACAGCUUAGUAUUAUUGUUUAAAAUGCCUAAGUUACCCAUUUAAUAAUUUAAUAUAUAAGAUACAUAUGUAAUCGAAUGAACAAGGGAAUUGACAUAUAAGCAAAUCAAAGAUAUUGUUUAACAAACAAUAAAAUUGUGCCACGUUUUGUAAGGAUGAGGAAACUUAACGGGCUUAACCGGAGCCUAUCGUUCAUUGAUUGUCAAGUUUUGUAAUGAGUACGGCUGCUCGAUCGCCAUCUUUUGCAAGCACCAGCUGCCACACUGCAGACACUUCCACCAUUGCGAAAUGGUCAUGCUUCAGUCUUUUUGUUUUUGUUAUGAGUGCCGCUAAAUAUCAAGAACAACGAGAGAAGGAUGAGAGAAUUACCUAUUCUCUCUCUCUGUUGUUGAUUUUUUUUUUCUCUCUCUUCUCCCACCACAUGCUUCAUUCUCUCGUCAUUCUUUCGUUUUUCUUGAUACUUAACAUUUUUCUUUUGUUAUACACAUUCGAGCAAGUCUUGCGUACAUCAGUUUGUGCCUGAGUUGCUGCCCUUUCAUUUUUACUUUAUGUAUUAAAGCAUCAUUCAUAAUCCUCCUCCCCACUAAAAAUGUUUUGAUAAAAUUAAUUAAAUAUUUAAAUUAUUUUAUUUAUUUAUUGUAUUAUGAUUACCCAAUAACUUAUUUACAAGAUAUUUAAUUUCCUUAUUAUUUUAACUUAUUUACAACGAUGGCAAUUGAACUCCCACACUCACUUCAACGACUUGACAAUUAAUGGUAGGAUAGUAAGCCUUUGAAUUUACGGAUUAUGUAAUGACUUCAAUGACUUUAGGCUAUGUUUUGGAGAUAUGAUUAAAUGCAGGAUUAGAUUAAUGUUAGAAUUAAAUAUUUAUCUUAUAUUUGGCAAGCUCCACUUUGGAUUAAAUUAUGGGACUAAAUUUGAAUUUAAUCCUAAGAUUAUGGGGAUUAACAAUCCCAAUUGAGAGAUGGGUUUAGUUAGGAUUAACUUUAAAAAUAAUUGUCUAUUUAAUUAAUUAUUAAAUGAAUAUCUAAUAUAAUAUUGGUUACUUUUAAAUUAUUUGCUAAUUUUUUGAUAAAAUAAAAUUAAAUAUUUAAAUAAUUUUUAAUUUGAUUUAACCUAGUCUAGUUUAUAUUUGUUUAUUAUAAUUAUAAUUGCCUAAUAACUAAUUUUCUGGAUAUUUAGUUUUAAUUAAUUAUCUUUUAAAUUAUUAUCAUUAAUUAUUUUAUUAUUAAAUAUUCAUAAAUAAUUCAUAUUUAUAUUUAAAUAUCAACUUAAAUGCUAUUUAAUUUUAUUCAAAUAAAAUUUAAUAUAGUCCAUUCCAAUACUAUACCAAACAUAAGAUAAUAUUAUAUAAGACAAGCUAAUUUAAUUAAAUUUAAUUAAAUCUAAUCCUAAUAAUUGGUUCAAUCUAAUCAUGCUUCCCAAACGUGGCCUUAACGUAAUAGUGCCGAUAUUUAGGGAUGGCAAUGGAUUGGAUUUGAUCCAAGAUCCAUGUGAUCCAAAUCCAAUCGGAUCGGAUUUGGAUCGGUUUAAAAUGGAUUUGGAUCGGAUUUGGAUAUUGAUGUGCGGAUCUAAGACGGAUCUGGAGCAGAUAUGGAUCUAUCUUAAUAUCUAAAUCCAUAUCCAUAUCCACUCAUCUUUUAAUUUUAUUUUAUUUUAAAAGUUUCUUAAUAAUUGUGGAAUGAUAAUGAUAAUAAAUUUUAUUCAUAGCAUAUUAGUAGUAUUUACCAUGAAUUUAAACUCUUAAAACUUAAAGGUUAGUUUUGUAAAUUUAAAGGUCAGCCAAGCCUCAAAGCAUGUACAUGCAAUAUUCAAAAUGCAAUCCAAGUAAUAUAACCUGGUAAUUUAUUUUAUCAUAUUGGCCAAAUAAUUUUUAAGAAAUAUAGUUAUUCAUAUAUUUAGUCAAAUAUGGUCAUAAUAAAAAUAAUAAAGGACUGAAUAUAAAUCAUAUUUAAUUUAUAUGUCAUUAUCUAAUGUUGUAGAAAUGAGGGUAGGUGUAUCGUGGAUACUAGAAUGAUGAAGGAGACAAUAGAAUAUUAGAUUGAUCUUACUCCUUAUGGGGAUUAACAAUCCCAAUUGAGAGAUGGGUUUAGUUAGGAUUAACUUUAAAAAUAAUUGUCUAUUUAAUUAAUUAUUAAAUGAAUAUCUAAUAUAAUAUUGGUUACUUUUAAAUUAUUUGCUAAUUUUUUGAUAAAAUAAAAUUAAAUAUUUAAAUAAUUUUUAAUUUGAUUUAACCUAGUCUAGUUUAUAUUUGUUUAUUAUAAUUAUAAUUGCCUAAUAACUAAUUUUCUGGAUAUUUAGUUUUAAUUAAUUAUCUUUUAAAUUAUUAUCAUUAAUUAUUUUAUUAUUAAAUAUUCAUAAAUAAUUCAUAUUUAUAUUUAAAUAUCAACUUAAAUGCUAUUUAAUUUUAUUCAAAUAAAAUUUAAUAUAGUCCAUUCCAAUACUAUACCAAACAUAAGAUAAUAUUAUAUAAGACAAGCUAAUUUAAUUAAAUUUAAUUAAAUCUAAUCCUAAUAAUUGGUUCAAUCUAAUCAUGCUUCCCAAACGUGGCCUUAACGUAAUAGUGCCGAUAUUUAGGGAUGGCAAUGGAUUGGAUUUGAUCCAAGAUCCAUGUGAUCCAAAUCCAAUCGGAUCGGAUUUGGAUCGGUUUAAAAUGGAUUUGGAUCGGAUUUGGAUAUUGAUGUGCGGAUCUAAGACGGAUCUGGAGCAGAUAUGGAUCUAUCUUAAUAUCUAAAUCCAUAUCCAUAUCCACUCAUCUUUUAAUUUUAUUUUAUUUUAAAAGUUUCUUAAUAAUUGUGGAAUGAUAAUGAUAAUAAAUUUUAUUCAUAGCAUAUUAGUAGUAUUUACCAUGAAUUUAAACUCUUAAAACUUAAAGGUUAGUUUUGUAAAUUUAAAGGUCAGCCAAGCCUCAAAGCAUGUACAUGCAAUAUUCAAAUUGCAAUCCAAGUAAUAUAACUUGGUAAUUUAUUUUAUCAUAUUGGCCAAAUAAUUUUUAAGGAAUAUAGUUAUUCAUAUAUUUAGUCAAAUAUGGUCAUAAUAAAAAUAAUAAAGGACUGAAUAUAAAUCAUAUUUAAUUUAUAUGUCAUUAUCUAAUGUUGUAGGAAUGAGGGUAGGUGUAUCGUGGAUACUAGAAUGAUGAAGGAGACAAUAGAAUAUUAGAUUGAUCUUACUCCUGCAAUUACUUCUGAAUGAUAUUUUAUUAUCUUUCUUAUUUGUUGUUUUGGUGUAGAAGUAUAAGCUACAAUAUUUAUUAUAUUUUUGAGAAAAAUUAUAUAAUUUAUUUGUUAUCAAUACAUUUUAGCACUCAAUUUUCAAUCUAAAAAAUUAUUACUUUUUUAUUACAAAAUUUUAAAAUUCAUGACGGAUCUAGAGCAGAUUUGGAUUUUAAUUUUUUUUUUCGGAUUUGGAGCAGAUAGAGAUAUUUAUUUCUUUUUUGGAUCUGGAUAUGGAGCGAAAAAUAUGGAUUCAUAACGGAUCUGGAGCAGAUGCGGAUCUUGAUUUUUAUUAUGGAUUUGGAUUUGGAGCAGAGUAGAUCUAACCCAUAUCUGCCCCAUUGCCAUCCCUACCGAUAUUGAUCGUGAUAAUGCACUCACUAUAUUGGGUGAUACACACCCAACCAUUCUUGUCUAGUUGGGGACCAUUCUUGAUCUUUUUAUUGCACUGAUCCGAUGUUCCACAUUUAGCCACGUUUCCGCUUUUACACAACCAAAGUUGUUGACCACAUCCGAAUUAGGGGUGUUAAAAAUGACCCGCCCAGUCCAGAUCCAAACCGCACCCUGACGUUGUGAGCCGAGUAUUACCCGGCCAGUUAUGAAGCCGGGCUGGUUUAUGAAUUAUUUGAUAAAUUCGGGACACGACCCAUAACUCGGAUUUAUUAAAAAAAAUUAAAUAUAUAUUAUUUUAAAUAUUUAUAUUUAUUUGACCCAUCUAUUACACAUAUAUAAAGUUUUAAACAUUUAAAGUUUAUUUUCAUGUCAAAAUUUAUUGAAAUAAAUUUAAAACUUAUAAAAUUACAAAAAAUAAAAAAAUUAUACAUAUAUAAUAUUAAAAAAAUAAAUUUGUCGAAUAAAAUUUAAAUUUUGAAUAAAUAAAAAUUACGGAGUUGAAAAUAAGAGGUUUCCGUCACGCUAAUUUAAAUGGAGAGGAUAUUAAGUUCAGGCUAAAUAAUUAUUAAAAAAUUCAUAAUAAAAAAGCAAAAAGAAAAUAAAAAUAAUCCCAAUCUGUUUGAUGAACAAGGAUAGAAAAGGAUGAUUGUUUUAUGAGUAGAUUUGGCUCAUUGGUUGGAACAGUUUGGUUGUUGACUUGUCAAGUGUUGAUUGGAUGCUCAUCUAGUGGUCCCCAUAAUGUUAUUGAAUUAUAGUUAUUAGGGUUGGUAAAAUGCGGGUUUGGGCUCAGGUAUUGCAAUGCCCGGACCUGACCCAGAUGUAAUUUUUAAAUGCUCGGACUGGGUUUUAAUUCGGAUACCUGGAUUUUAAAUUUUUUAAUAUUAUUUAUGUAUAAUUUUUUAUUUUUUUGUAAUUUUUUAAGUUUUAAAUUUAUUUUAAUAAAAUUUGACAUGAAAAUAUAAAUUUUAAGUAUUUAAAACUUUAGAUAUGUGUAAUAGAUGAGUCAAAUAAAUAUAAAUAUUUAAAAUAGUAUAUUUUUUUAAUAAAAUUUGAGUUUCGAGCUAGGUUCUGAGUUUAUUAAGUGAUGUUUAAGACCGACCCGACUUCAUACUCAGACCAAAUAAUACCCGACCCACAACGCCUGGAUGCGAUCUAGAUCUGGACCGAGGGGGUAUUUUUACCACCCCUAAUUGUUAUCUUCUUUCGUUUUCGUUUCCAUGUUUCAAGAUUUUCUAAUUAUUUAAUUAUGCUAUUUUCUUUUAAUAUGGUACACGCUACACACACUAGACAGGCAAUCCCAUUGAUGCUCUUUCCAAUCUCAUUAAGCAAUCAUCAUUAGCAUAUUUUUACAGCAUUCAAAUUAUUAAAAAUUAAAAUAACAUCAUUAACAGUUUGGAUUGGAACAACAUCUUGAAAUUAUAUAUCAAAAAGCUAAAAUUAUUAAACAAAAAGAAGAAAGAACUUGUAUACUUAUUGAUUACAACUUUCUCAUCUUAUUUGAACAAUGAAGAUGUCUUUCUGUGUGCACAUGCGCCGUAAGAUGAUUACGUUGUGGGGAAAACUGUGAUAAAAUUUUGGACCCAGUUGCCUUUGAUUUUUCAGACUGUCGAAAAUUGCGGCUAUGUGUUCACACUAUAUUAGUUCAGUUUAACCAUGCAAAGUUUUUGGGUAUUAUUCAUUGCGUGACACUGGAGACAAUUUAUAUUUAAUAGUUGGUUAGGCAUUUUGCUUGAUAUUAUUUGGACUCGUAGGGGUGUUAAAAUUUUUGUUAAUUUAUAAUUCAGAUCUUAUUGUAAUAAGAUAGCAAUUUUUGUUGUGGCAAAAUGUUGUUUGUUACAUAAACAGUUCAUACCAAGAAGAGCAGCCAUAUUUGACUUUUUAGAAGGACAUAAUAUUGGAAUAAGCGCAAUUAAGCAGUUAGCAAGCCUUUAGGAUGGAUGGCUUUCUAUGCAAAUGGGCUAUAAGAAUAAGAUGAUUUAAGUUUAGGGGAAAUUUGUACAUCUAGUUGCCUUCAAUUUUUCUGACGGGGAAAAUUGUGAAAAUUGUGGAUGACACGUGUAAUUUAAACAGCUUAAAAGAAGAAAUUAAGAUUAUCAUAUGAUAUAAUUAUAAAACGUCAAAAAGUGUAAUUAGAAAUUUUUGCUAAAGUAGAGAGAGAAUAAAAGGUCACAAAUUUGCUUUAAUUUACUCUAUGCUCCACGCGGUAUACUAGCUAGUACAAAUUCAGUAUGAUCACUACUUUAUAUAUGCAUUGCUUGAAAGUUAUAUAAAGUAAAUCUCUUUCACUUAUCAAAUUUUAAGUAUUAAUUAAUAAAUUAAUAAUGCUUAAUUAGAGAAGAAAAAACUAAGGGACAGUCCGGAAAGAUUAUUUGAUUAAAAUAUAUUCUUAAAUUCUACUAAAAGUUCAAUAGUGAAUAUAAAGUACAAAUAUAUAAUUUAAUAAUUUUCAAACAGAAUGUUCUUUUUUCAAUAAGAUUGGCUCAUAUUAAACUCUUUAUUAUUAAUCUAUAUUCCAUAAAGUACAAACUCUUUAUUAUUAAUCUAUAUUAAACUACCAACAAAGUGUUGGCUCCACUGGCAAUGGAGUCUCCUUAAGUGGUUUGACUGGAUUUGCUCCCCAGUUUGAGUCGCUGGGAAGUCGCAUUUGUUGGGAGAACAUGUGUCUCUCGGUUCGAGCAGGGACUUUUAGUAUGGGUUGUGGUACGGGCUUAAAAGUGCAUCCCAUAGUUGGGGCCCUUCCCAGGAUACCUCGUGGUCAAAACAAAAAAAAAAUUAAUCUAUAUUAAACUCAUGUCUCUUUCUAUACACAGUUGGCCUCCGUGCAAAAAGCAGUUUUCCGCGCGUAAAUCUUGUAUUAAUUUAGUGCAUGAUCUUAAGCAACAUCUUUGAUUUGCUAUUGUGUUGAUUAUCUCUGUUGAUUUUCCUAAUAUUAUAUCAUUUGUACUCUCUCAUACAUAAUAAAUUAUUAAAUCAAUGGUUUAUUCUUAAUAAGUUUUUUAGCAUUAAUUUGGGUGAAGGGGGACACAAUAGAUACAAAAUGGUUUCUUUGAGGAUUUUGUUUUUCUGUGAAAAAUCCAAAACUGAGAUGCGGUCAUGGGAUGAUUCCCUAAAUGAACAGACAUGUGGCAGAUGAAGCAGUCGUGGGUAAGUAUUAUUAGGAAUUUGAGUUGAUAUUUCAAAAUACUAAUAUCCCACGUUGUUUAAACAAGAGAACACAAGUUGAUUUAUUUAUAAAAACUAGAUACAUUGUGGCAUCAGAAUAAUGUUAUGUUAUAUGUAUGUAACUUAUAAUCCUCUCACAUAAAUAGUGAAUGAACCCACACUAUUAUUCAUGUGAGAAAAUUAUAAAUUACAUGCAUGUAACUUAGGGGAUCUUGUGGCAACAAAUCCCCGCAACACGAAACCAAGCAUAACUAAAAAUACUUUAAAGAAAUAUACGUAAAUUCCCAAGAGUUCAAAAGUUCACAAAACCAAGCAAUCCUUCGAAAGUUAAAUUCCCACUAUAAAGAAAUACAAGAAAUUUGUUCCAAACUCAAAAAGAAGACCCAAAGACCUAUAACUCUGAAAGCUACCUUUGAGACACAAGUAACAAAAGAACUUUGAAAGCUACCUUAGUGACAAAGAACAAAAGAACUCUGAAAGCUACCUUAGUGACACAAGUAACAAAAGAACUCUGAAAGCUACCUUAGUGACACAAAUAACAAAAGAACUCUGAAAGCUACCUUCAGAGCAAAAGAGAAGAAAUUACACAAGUAACAAAAGAACUCUGAAAGCUACCUCCUUCAGAGCAAAUCUGAAGGUACAAGAAAUUUGUUCUAAGCUCAAAAAGAAGACCCAAAGACCCAUAACUCUGAAAGCUACCUUAGAGACACAAGUAACAAAAGAACUUUGAAAGCUACCUUAGAGACACAAAUAACAAAAGAACUCUGAAAGCUACCUUCAGACCUUCAGCGCAAAAGAGUCCCUGGAAAAGAAGUCCCAGGAAAAGACCCAAAGACACAAAUAAAUAAAUAAAUUUCUCUUCUCCUGACACAAAGACACCGCAGAUACUAAAGCUACCUUCAGACCUCAAAAACCCCCUAUAAAUAAAUUUCCCCCUCAAAGCCAUCAGACCUCAACGCCAAUUCCCAAUUUCGCAGAUACUAUAAAGAAAUACUUUUUAAUUAGUUGAAACCUCAAAGAAACCCAGAAACCCUUCAAUUCAAACCUCAAAAAAUGUGCCUCGGAAACAAACCAUAUCAGUGCUCUGUUAUCUGGGAUGGGGAUGAAAACCUCGUUCACUUCAAGUGCCGUGUUCCAUCAACGACGAAGCGAGAGGAUGUGAAGGUUGAGAUUGAUGAACAUGGGAAAUUGCUUAUAGAAAUAAGCAAAGGGGUAAGUUCACAUAGUGAUCCUCUCUCUUCAGCUUCUUCCUUGAUGAUCAGAUUCGGAUCCUUUCUCCUAAGCUUCCUGAAGAAAAAUGAGGGAGACACCACCAGCCCGAUAGGCCCGAUGGAAUUUAACUUGCCAGCGGGUCUUAACACGAAUGACUUCGAGACUGCGAUCGAUGACGAGGGGUUGCUGACUCUCACUUUCAAAAAGCUCGUGCCCAUUCGUGCCCAUUAUCAGCGCUCUGUGUUCUGGGACGAGGAUGAAAACCUCGUUCACUUCAACUACCGUCUUCCAUCAGGGACGAAGCGAGAGGAUGUGAAGGUUGAGAUUGAUGAAGAUGGAAAAUUGCUUAUAACAAUAAUAAGCAAGGUGGCAGGUGCACAUACUGAUUCCUCCAUGAUCAUAUCCUCUCUCUUCAGUUUCCUGAAUAAAAAGGAAGGAGACACCACCAGCCAGAUAAUCCGGAUGGAAUUCAACUUGCCAGCGGGUCUUAACACGAAUGGCUUCGAGACUGCGAUCGUUGACGAGGGCUCGCUAACUCUCACUUUCAAAAAGCUCGUGGAGUGGAAGAACAAAAAGCGCGUCUUUCACUUCAAGGCCUAUCUGCCAGCGGGGACGAAGAUGGACGACAUGACGGUUGACAUAGAAGGUCGCAAAUCCCUUGUGAUAGGCAUUCAUGAUCGGCUGAAGAAAGAGGAAGGGGACACCAGUACCCGCAUGUGCUUGAAUGGCAAGAACUUUAGGAGCUUCAUUUUGCCAGAUGGUGUGAACCCAAAUGGCUUCGAGACUGCAAUGGAUGAUGCCGGUGUUCUAACUGUUACCUUCACUAAACUCAAGCCGGAGAAGAAAAAGCUGGGGCCAAUAGCGAAGAAGAUGCUGGGAUGUUUGGCUGAUGCUGCUCUUAUGCUGAUAUGUGGGGGGAUAACUGAUGCGAUUUGUCCAGGAGACUGCUAACAGGCUGGUGUCAAGUAGGUAUUUGCUUUAUGUUCACGUAUGUUGUUUCUGUCGUUUAUCUGUCAGUGUUUGAAAGAAAAAUAAAAAAGAACUCUGGACUCCAUAGUCUAGACCAGGUGUUCGUUAAUUUCUGUGUUGUGUGGUGUUGUGACUCCAGAUCGAGUCAAGACCAGGUGUUCGUCAAUUUCCGUCUUUCGUGGUGUUGCAUCUCCUUUGUUUCAGUGAAAUAAAAAAUGAUAAAACGCUGUUGAGCGAAAAAUAAAUGCAUUUUUUUUUUUAAUGGUGUUGAAUAUUAAAAAAACAAAACAAGGCCUGGUUUCAUGCAUACGUGCAGCCACAAGAUAAAGGAGAAACUGGAGAUCGGUCAGGUGAGCCAAUCAUGCUACAAAAUCUGCAAUCUGUGUAUAAUAGAAUUAAAAAAAAAAAAAACUGCUUGCGGUUGGAUUUUUUUUUUUCAAAUGAGUACAUUGGUAAUGGUGUCCGUAGGAAUGGUAAAAUCCGCAUUUAUAUUUUUAUAUUCGGAUCUGCAUCCGUAUCCGCAAAAAAAAUAUACGGAUCCGGAUGCGGAUAAUAUUCGUAACGGAUACGGGUGAAUAUUCUAAAUAUUCGGAUCUGCAAAAUUAAGAUUCAAUAAUUUAAAACGUAAUUUAGAAAUUCAAUAAUUUAAAAAUUAAAGUAAUUAAAUCAAAAACCUAAUUAAUAAUUAAAGCAAAUAUAAAAUUAAACUAAUUUGUAAAGGUCCAGCCAUGAUUUUUCACUAAAUUUAUGCUUUUACAUAUUAAUUUACUAAAACUAUGAAUAUUGAUUGUUGGAAAGUAAUUGGCGUGGGCUUGGCAGUUGGCUCACCUUUUGUAUUUCUAUUUUCGGGCGUUUAUGAGUGGUGGGAAGCAAGGGUUGAUUUCGGCCAUUUGUGAGUGGUGGGGAGUAGCCGAGCAGGGGCUGAUUUUAGUUGCUUGUGGCUGUACCCACUACUACAAAAAUUCAAAAUAAUGACCCAUAAAUUAUUACGGUUUUUAAAAAUAACUGUCAUUAAAAUUUUUUUAUAACCGUUAUUAUGUAAACCAUCAUAAUAUUUAAUACUUACAAUAACGGUUUUAUAAAAAAAUCGUCAUUAAAUAUAAAUUUAAAAUAUAAUAUUAUUUUUAAUGACGGUUCGUUAUAAAAACCGUCAUUAAAAAUAUUAAUACGAUAAUGACGGUUUAUUAUAAAAAUCAUCAUUAAAAAUAUAUAAUUAUAAUGACAGUUUAAUUAAAAAACAAUCAUUAAAUAUAUAAUUAUAAUAUAAUGUUAAGUUUAAUGACGGUUUAUUAUAAAACCGUCAUUAAAAAUACAAUAAUGCUACACAUCCCAAAUUUUUUAUCCCAAAAAAUUAUUCCAAAUGAUGUGUCAUUAAUUGAGUGGUUGAUAAUUCUUUACAAGAUCCAAGUGAAUUAAUUGUAUUAUCUCACCAACCAAUUGGUAAAUGACACAUCAUUUGGGAUAACUUUUUGAGAUAAAAAAUUUAGGAUGUGUAGCAUUAUUGUUAAAAAUACAUACUUACAAUGAUGGUUUUUAAACUUAACUGUCAUUGUAUCUCUACUAAAAUAUAACCUUAGUAUUAAUGACCGUUAUUUUAGGAACCGUGGUUAAAGAGGAAAUUACUAAUCUUCAUUCAUGACCAUUUAUUUUAUAAACGGUCAUGAAUAAUACAAAUAAAAAAACAAAGCCGAUUUCUAGACUUGGCAUUUUAUUUCAUCACUUCAAAAUAUCUCUCCCAAAUACCCAAAUUCCUUCCAUCACACGCUCAUUUCUCUCCAGAAUAGCCAAGAUUGAUUGUUGCCCACUUCGUAACCAUCACAACCUUGGGAUUAUUGUGCCGUCUCAGUAGCCACCGAGUUGAAUCCCAUUGUUAAUGCUCCAAUGCAUCCUCAGUUCACUGCCUAGGUCAGCUCUAUUUGACGUUUUGAUUUAUUUGUAAUCAAAUUGACACAUUAUCAGCUCCUCUAUUGAAAGCCCUCUACUUUCCACAUACAUUACUGGAAAGGAAUUUGAAAUUUCUUAUUUAUGAGCCAAAUCAUUCUCGCUCUCUAUCUCUCUCUAUAUUUUCAUUUUAUUACUUAUAAAUCUCAUUAAUUUGAUUGGGUAGGUUUCAUGGUUUUGUAACCUAGCAUUGGAUGACUCUAAACAUGGCUACUUCUCUCAGAGAUUAUUGGUGUGCUUGAUAUUAGUAUUGAGUUCAAUCAUCUGCAAGGUUUGUUUCAGUUCUAAUAGUUUGUUUUAAAAUUUUUCGUUGCCAUGUAAUUCUAUGGUGUGGAUUUUAUGAAAUUCAUGUUUAAUUCAGCAAACUCUGUUUCCUUUAAGUAUUUAGUUCUAUGACUGGCAAUAAUAGGUAGAAAAACCUUGAAAGGGCCAUAACAUUUUUCUUUUUUGUUGUUUUUUUAACUUUGUUUUGAUGUAAUAAAAGUAUUCCUUCCUCCCAAACUCAAUUGAGAGGAUUUAAUUGUUCUUUUCUUAUAUUGAAGUGUUUAGAAGCUCUGAUUGCCACUGAUUUAUAAAGAAAACAGCAAUUGUAAAAUUAUUCUGCCGUUAUAUGCUGUUAAAAACAGCACAUGGAACUUCCAAGCACUGAUUUUAGCAACUGGACAACAUCCAUAAAAUUUUCUCGGCGUGUCAUGCUGCUAUUUGUUGUAAAAAAACAGCAUUGAAAAGUUUCAGAUGCUAUUUUAACACAAUUACAGCAGCAUGACAACACCCAAAAAAUUUUCUAGGAGCUGUCUUGCUGCUAUUUGCUGUUAAAAACAGCACCUGAGAGUUCCAAAUGCUGUUUUUAUCAGCUGGACAGCACUAAAAAAAUUUUUAGGUGCUGUCAUGCUGCUGUUUAAGGCUAAAAACAACACCCUAAAGUUGCAGGUGCUGUUUUUAACACAAUUUUAGCAGCUACGUAGCACUUAUAAAAAAUUCUAGGUGCUGUAAUGUGCUGUUUGCUGUUAAAAACAGCACCUAAAAUUUUUUUGGGUGCUGUCAUGCUGCUGUUCAAGGCUAAAAACAACACCCAAAAGUUGCAGGUGUUGCUUUUAACCCAAUUUUAGCAGCUAUUUUCUAAGUGUUGUCAUGAUGUUGUUUGCUGUUAAAAACAGCACUUGAAAAUUUCAGUUGCUGUUUUUAUCAGCUAGACGGCACCCAAAAAUUGUUUGGGUGCUGUCGUACUCCUGUUUGAUUAGAAAAACAGCAUCCAAAGUUUUCAGGUGCUGUUUUAACAUAAUUUCAGUAGUUAGACAGCACUCGAAAAAACUUUUAGGUGCAUUCAAGCUGUUGUUUACUGUAAAAACUGCAAUGAAACUUUCAGUUGUUGGGUUUAUUAGUUAGAUAGCACCUAAACUACUUUAGGAUGCUGUCAUGCUGCUGUUUGAUGUUAAAAGUAGCACCCGAAAGUUGUUAAUGAAAUAGUGACGAUAAUGAUCAUAAUUGAGGAAAAGAAGAACAAGCAUGAACAUUUUGCACCACUGUAUUAUGGAUAUAAUUCCUUCGAAGUAAAAGGCUCUAUAUAUGGAAUAUUAAUAUUGAAUUGGAGUUAGUUAUAUACAACGUCUUACAUGGUAUGCCAUUAUUAUUAAAUUAUGUAAAUCAGUUCCUUUGUCCUUCAUGCCAUGGCUAAAUACAUUUUCAUGCUUGUUGUGGACCUCUUUGGUUAAUGUAGUGAGACCUUGCUUGAUCUUGAGCCAUUUAAUGGGAUGUUGCACUUGAGUGAGAACGGAAAACCUUGUGGGCAGUUUGAUGCAACUAUUAUUUCUCGUAAUGGUGAUACAGUGCUGCUACUACUUCCAUCAUUACCUCGGAUUCAAGAGUGGAAAGGUUCAAGUUUUGUACAGCUACAGGGAAACCCUCUGCAAAUCCAAACCCCUGUGAAAGGAUCCCACUUCAUGACAAUCUUUGUGGGUUUCGAGUUGGAAUACUCUGGCAGGUUAGAAGUUGUUUCAAUUAAUUAUCUAUAACAUACAAGUUGUGUUACAUUAUAUGACCAUAUAAUGAUUCAUUGUGGGAUACUAGGACAUCAAAAAGAGCUCAAAAUUUCAGACAGAUUUUCUCCCUAAAUUUGGUGAAAGACUGAUGGAUGAAUUAGAACUAAGUUUCAUAGCAAUUUGUAGCUGUAAACAUCUAGAAGGCUGGGACUAAAUGCCAUUUGAUUAGGUUAGAAUAAUAUGAACUGAGCUUAUAAUCUUUGUCAUUCAUUCAAUUACUUUUUUAGAUGUCCACAAUUCAUCAUGUUGAUAAUAUCCAAUUGGUGCCUGGUAAAUUUCCUAUGACUAUGAUAUUGGGUGUUAUGGAAGAGAUGAGAACAUCCAUUGUAAAUCAGCUAGAACAGGUUCUGGAUCA
rnacentral:lncRNA from 1 species